rnacentral:rRNA from 1 species
GUAGGUGGCAAGCGUUGUCCGGAAUUAUUGGGCGUAAAGCGCGCGCAGGCGGUUCUUUAAGUCUGAUGUGAAAGCCCACGGCUCAACCGUGGAGGGUCAUUGGAAACUGGAGAACUUGAGUACAGAAGAGGAAAGCGGAAUUCCACGUGUAGCGGUGAAAUGCGUAGAGAUGUGGAGGAACACCAGUGGCGAAGGCGGCAUUCUGGUCUGUAACUGACGCUGAGGCGCGAAAGCGUGGGGGAGCAAACAGGAUUAGAUACCCUGGUAGUCCACGCCGUAAACGAUGAGUGCUAAGUGUUAGGGGGUUUCCGCCCCUUAGUGCUGCAGCUAACGCAUUAAGCACUCCGCCUGGGAGUAACGGCCGCAAGGCUG